rnacentral:misc_RNA from 1 species
AAGUCGUAACAAGGUUUCCGUAGGUGAACCAUUAACACGUAUCCAAACGUUGAAACCUUCCCCCCGUGAACCUUCAUCUGAUAAAUCAUAGCCCGGAAAGUUGUAGUGAUUCAGAGACCUCUGGCUACGUGCGAACAUUGGAACAGUUACAAUCGAGGCGUAGUUCUAUAGGCAAUGUUUCCCCAAGCAGUCAGUGUCGGAAAGUGUCAUUGAUUGUGCAAGGAUAGCGCUUCUACGAUUCCUGUAGACCGUACACUCGGGCAGGAGCUUUGCCAAAGUGUCCCCAUGCCCCCUAAUAACCCCACAGUUUAAUGUGAAGCUGUAAUACAUUGGGUAAAAAAACCGAACAACUGUUACAAUGGAUAUCUUGAUUCUC